AGCAAGUUUAGCCAAAUGAGGGCUUUGUUUACGAGACUGCUCACUCUUGGGAUGGUAGAAGCCAGCGCUUGAUUCUUAAAGAUCAAGACCCAUGUGACACCUGAGGAGCAGGUUGGCCUUACAAACAUCAAAGAAGUGCAGUAAGAGCCCCAUCAGCAGAAGCCAUUCAACUGCCCUCUGGAUUCGCAAUAAAGAACAUCACUGAAAGCUUUGGCUAUUGACAAACCCUGCAUGCCCACGUGUUUGUUUCUCCUGGUAAACAGACUUUUUGAUGUGAACAGAAAACCAAGGGGUAUGCACCAGUCUUUGAUAGUGCUUGACUGUUUCACGUAAGAAAAGGGUCAAAGGAAAUGGGUCCUUGUGACAUCUACCUAAGUGCUGGUUGCUCUUCUCAAUGAAUGGCAUCUGGAGCAUGGAUCUGCUGUGUUGUGCACAAGUGUGUUUUGCUGCUGGUGUCAGACGUACAGGGCACUGUGUAAAAGAGUGCCCUGCUCAUGAAAACACACAGGUUGCUCAGGACUUGAACUAAACCAUAAUUUACCGUCUUAAGAGGUCUCUCUUCUCAGGCUGGCAGUUCAGAACAUUCUAGAGCUCAGCACGCAUUAACCCCUUUAGGGCUUCAGCAUACAGGGACUUCAGAGACCAUUCCAGCUCAAAACUGGAGGUUCUACUUAAAGCACCCAGCUUGGCCUGAAAAAAAAAAAAAGCCUAUUAAAACUGUUAAAAGGGGAGAUUUUUUGUUUGCACCUGCAUGUGGCUGCAGAGCAUGGCUACCAACAGACUGAAUGGCACACUGCUUGGAGCAUGUGUGACUUUUGUGUUAAGAUUUAUGUAAAAGUAAUCUAGUCUGUAGAGAAAGGGGGCUGAUCAUACCGACUACUAUGAAAGUCAAUAUAGUGGAGAGAUUCACUGCAGACAAUGCCACAACCUUGUAGAAUUCCAAAGGCAGACCAAUCUACUUUACAUUUGUGAAGCAGAAGCAGGCAGUAGCCUGGGGAGGGGCCUCUUACUGAUCCAGCUGCGAUGCUUUGGGAAGACAGGCUGCUGACAAUGGUCCACAGCCAAGCAUCCCCCGCCGCCACCACCACCACCACCACCACCACAUACAAGGUAAAAAAAACAAGAGAGCUCUUGAAACCACACACGAGCCCUGAAGGCAAUGGUGAUUGGACACACCUGCAGGGAUUUAUCACUUUUAUUAAGAAACAACUACUGCAAAUUAAAGAUAAAAACCAGA